rnacentral:lncRNA from 1 species
CUGCCAUUGACGAUUGCCAAAUAAAAUUGAUCACAAGAUGUAACAAAAUGGAUCUGAAUAUAAAUUUAAUACGUCACAGAAAAAAAAAUGUUAACUUGUGGCUACGAUGUUGUGCCACAAACAUUCGGUGUCAAUAUUUCUUUAGUACACCAGAUCUAGAUUUCGACAAUAUAUGUCUCUUCAGUGAUGUUAGGGAUCGAAACGGUAUUUGGAAGGCCAUAUAAUUUACUCUCAAUUUAAGAUUGACUCUUGAAUUUAAGAGACAAUAUAGGAUGAACGGAUCAUAUAAACCGGAGGGAAAAUAUGAUACAUGCCCA